rnacentral:tRNA from 1 species
ACCUGGCUGGCUCAGUUGGUAGAGCAUGUGACUCUUGAUCUCAGGGUCAUGAGUUCAAGCGCCUCAUUGCAGGUA